CUCUGAGGCUCUUCCCCUUGCGCCCCCUAGUCUAGGGCUUCCUCCCACCGCCAACCUCCAGUCUGGGGUCCCCUCCUUGCACCUCCUAUCUGGGGGUCCCCUCCUUGCACCUCCUAUCUGGGGCUCCCCUCCUUGAACCUCCUCCUCUGGGGAUCGCCCUGAGCCCCCCAGUCUGGAGCUCCCUACCUCACACCCCCCCAAGACUGGGGCACCCACAACCUUCUAGGCCCCUUGCUGCUGCACACAGGGCCCUGGGGUGGGGUCCAGGCUCAGCACCCAGUUAAUAGUCCCACGCCCUCUCAGAGUCAUUUCCGUUUGUCUAGCGGGAAAGAGCCCAGCUAGCAGUACCCCAGCCUGCUCUGCCCUUUGAGCUAGGCCAGGCCCCUUCCCUUCUCUGGCCCCAUGUUGGCCUCUUCCCAGGACAGCGAGGGGGACCCCUGGACGCCCCCACUCUCAUCAUCUGAAAGUUAUGAGCCAACUCCCCUUGUUUCACUGUGAUGGCGGUAGAGGGGGCAUUGUCCUGGUAGAAGUGAUGGCUCAGGUCCCUCCCCAGCCCAGGAGAGGCUGGCCCUUCAGUCCGAAAUACUUAACACCCCUUCUGAGGUCCCUGUCUACUCCUGCCUACCAGGAGGGCUGACCAAUCCCAGAUGUGCACUCUGUGUGCUGGGAGGGGGUGCAGAGCCCAACCUCCACUCCCUGGUGUGUGUAGAGAGCAGUAUUGUGAGGCAGCCAGAACAUAGACCUGGCCCUCAAAGUGAGGGGCAUGGAUGUCUUGGGGGGAGUCGUCAUCAGGAAAGAGAGCUAGGAGGGCAAGGAGUGGCUGACAGUAACUGGUCAGCAGGAGCAAAAGAGGACUGGGAGGGGGACUCCUGAUAUGUCCACCCCUCACUCCAGGGUCUCUACUGAUAAGCAAAACUGCAUGGAGGUGGGGAGUGGGGACUGAGUCUGAUUGCUCUGCUGGAUAGCUGAUGGUACCCAGAACUGUGGAACCAUGCCCUGGCCUUCUCUCUCCGCUCUGUCUUAGAGGCCAGGAACUUGAGAGGAGGCAGAAUUUGGGGAUGCUGGCUGAGGGUUCAGCAGCUGUUGUGAACAGUGUGGAAGGAGGCAGCCAACAGUCAGUGGAAGCAGAGCUGGACACCAGACCCACCAGGGCUCCUGUGUUAUUGGGCCUCAGCUGGGUUGCCAGUGAAGGGUGUGUGUGUGUGUCUGUGUGUGUGUGUGUGUGUGUGUGUGUGUGUGUGUGUGUGUGUGUGUGUAGGGAAGCAGCCUCACACAUGUGAGCAUCAGGGCAUUGUUGUCAAGUAUGUCCUUUCCCUGGAAAGUCUAGAUGAGUGUCAGACCCCUGAGGAGGCAGGGAGCCUAUCUUCCCCUGAGCCUCCCAGGAAGCCCUUUGCCCUGGGAGUGAGCCUCUUGAGGCUGAGUGCCCACCUCCACAUCAUCUGGUGGCACCCACAGGAGCCCUGAAGAGUGGCUUCCCAAGCCCCCCCCCUUCCCCUCUGGACCAGAGCCACACACUUCAGCAUUUACAGCCUGGAGCAUGAGCAAGGAAUUUUUUAUUGCUGUACCCCUGAGAGGAUGAGGAGAAAGGGGAGCCCAGAAUGCACUGGGGUACAGGGCUGAGAAUUGAGGGUGAAGUUAGAGUGGGGGUAGGGGGGAGACUGGCUGUCAGAGAGUCCACUUGGGGCUGCCCUCAGGACCCCACUUUAGUCCCUGCAGUGGUUGACACUGCCCCCACCCACCCAGGUCGGCUUCUCAGGCUUGCCUCUGCCCCAGAAGCUGGCACUUCACACCCACCGUUGGCAGCUCAGAUUUCACCAGGCAGGGAGGGAGCUGCAUGUGGAGGUGGACAGGGAACCAGCUCCCCAAGGCCCCUCCAACGCCAGGGUUUCCAUUUGAAGCCUGGUUGAGGGUGGGGUCCAGGGAAUGCUGGGUGUGCAGGUAUGUAGUGGGGGAGGGUGUGGAAUCACCUUUGCCCACACCCCCAACCACUGUCUGCACUGUGUUGCCUACACAGGGUCCCCUCACUGCCUGCUCAGUGCUCAAGGUCUCCUGCUCAGGGUCCUUGGCAUAUUUCCACUAUAAAGUGCCAGCUAGAAGGAAUGGUUUUUCCUCUAGGAAAGAGGCCUGGACAUUGUAUCCCUAGUCCACUUGGCAUUUGUCACCUUUGCCAUUUUGUCACUUUUUGGAGCCAGUCCAGGCUGAAUGACACAGACCUGGAGGGAGUCUAGCUGAGAUCCACCUCCUCUCCAGGACAGAGAGGGUCCU